rnacentral:misc_RNA from 1 species
GGAAUAUUGCACAAUGGGCGCAAGCCUGAUGCAGCCAUGCCGCGUGUAUGAAGAAGGCCUUCGGGUUGUAAAGUACUUUCAGCGGGGAGGAAGGGAGUAAAGUUAAUACCUUUGCUCAUUGACGUUACCCGCAGAAGAAGCACCGGCUAACUCCGUGCCAGCAGCCGCGGUAAUACGGAGGGUGCAAGCGUUAAUCGGAAUUACUGGGCGUAAAGCGCACGCAGGCGGUUUGUUAAGUCAGAUGUGAAAUCCCCGGGCUCAACCUGGGAACUGCAUCUGAUACUGGCAAGCUUGAGUCUCGUAGAGGGGGGUAGAAUUCCAGGUGUAGCGGUGAAAUGCGUAGAGAUCUGGAGGAAUACCGGUGGCGAAGGCGGCCCCCUGGACGAAGACUGACGCUCAGGUGCGAAAGCGUGGGGAGCAAACAGGA